GCGGGUAUUGUAUAAAGGUAUUACCUUAGCCUUCCAAGCUAAUGAUACGGGUUCAAUUCCCGUUACCCGCUCCA
rnacentral:tRNA from 1 species